AUGUUUUUUUCCCAUUUAUUGCCUUUUUUCCCAUUUCUCCCAGUUCCUCCGAACGAUCCCUUCUCCCCCCUUUUCUUUGUUUUUUCCCCAAUUCCUCGCUUUUUUCCCCCACUUCUUUGUUUUUCCCCUCUUUUCUUGGUCUUUUACCCAAUUUCUGUGCUUUUUCCCAAUUUCUUCACUUUUCCCCCCAAAUAUUCACUUUUUCCCCAAAUAUUUGCCUUUUCCCCAUUUUUUAGCAUUUCUCCCCAUUUCUUUGCUUUUUUCCCUAUUCCUUCACUUUUUCUCCCCAUUUCUUCACUUUCCCCCAUAUUUUCACUUUUUCCUCCAUUUCUUCACUUUUUCAUCCAAUUCCUCACUUUUCCCCCAAUUUCUUCACUUUUUUCCCGAAUUUCUUUACUUUUUUCUGCAAUUCUUUGCUUUCCCCCACUUUUCUUCACUUCCCCUGCCCCAUUUCUUUGCUUUUUCCAUCAUUUCUUCACUUUUUCCCCAUUUCUACAAUUUUUCUCCCCAUUUGCUCACUUUUUGCUGCAUUUCUUUGCUUUUUCUUCCAUUUCUUUGGUUUUUCCCCAAAUAGUAUUUUUUCCCCAUUUCUUUGCUUUACCCUAUUUUUUCCCUUUUUCUCCCCAUUUCUUCACUUUUCCCCCAAUUUCUUCCCCUUUUCACCGCGUUUUAAUGCAUUUCUUCACUUUACCAAAUUUAUUCGCUUUCCCACAAUUUAUCUGCUUUUUCUCGCAAUUUCUUCUCUUUUUCCCCCAAAUCUUCCCUUUUUUCCUCAUUUCUCCACUGCUCCCUCCUUCCCCUCUCCACUGGCCCCCUUUUUUCUGUUUUCGGGUGGUUCCUGUGUGGGGAGGGGGGAAGGGUGGGAUUCGGGGGGUCCCCUUCCCCCUCCUCCAGAGUCCCCUCAUCCCCCCUCCCUUCAGCCCCUCCCUCUGUGGGGUUGAUCCUCCCCCCCCCAUCCUCCUCCUCCUCCCCCCGGCUUUGCCCAGAAGCCCUUUUUUUCCACCCAUUUCCCUGCCCCUCCCCCCCGCCAGGCCCACCCUCGCUUUUACCCACAGCCUCAGGUUUGACUCAAAUAACCACUUUUUUCCCCCAAAUAAUAACUUCCCAAAAAUAAUCAGGUUUUUCCCCAUUUCUUCCAAUUUUUUCCCAUUUUCUUCACUUUUUUCCCUCAUUUCUUCACUUUUCCCCCAUUUCUUCACUUUUUUUGAUACCCUUGCUUUUUCCUGUUUCUUCUCUUUUCCCCCCAUUUUUUCUUUUUUCCCCACUCAAUUUUUCUUAAAAAUAUUCAUUUUUCCCCAUUUCUUCACUUUUUUCCCAUUGCUUUAUUUUUUCCCAUUUCUUCCCUUUCCCCCCAUUUCUUCACUUUUUUCCCAAUUCCUUUCCUUUUUUCCCCAAUUCUUCCCUCCCCCAUUUUUUCUUUUUUAA
rnacentral:lncRNA from 1 species